rnacentral:rRNA from 1 species
UACGAAGGGGGCUAGCGUUGCUCGGAAUUACUGGGCGUAAAGCGCACGUAGGCGGCUCUUUAAGUCGGAGGUGAAAUCCUGGAGCUCAACUCCAGAACUGCCUUCGAUACUGUAGAGCUUGAGUUCGGGAGAGGUGAGUGGAACUGCGAGUGUAGAGGUGAAAUUCGUAGAUAUUCGCAAGAACACCAGUGGCGAAGGCGGCUCACUGGCCCGAUACUGACGCUGAGGUGCGAA